rnacentral:rRNA from 1 species
AUUGAACGCUGGCGGCAGGCCUAACACAUGCAAGUCGAGCGGAGCGGCGGACGGGUGAGUAAUGCCUAGGAAUCUGCCUGGUAGUGGGGGAUAACGUCCGGAAACGGGCGCUAAUACCGCAUACUAUCAGAUGAGCCUAGGUCGGAUUAGCUAGUUGGUGGGGUAAAGGCCUACCAAGGCGACGAUCCGUAACUGGUCUGAGAGGAUAAUCAGUCACACUGGAACUGAGACACGGUCCAGACUCCUACGGGGAGCAGCAGUGGGGAAUCUUGGACAAUGGGCGAAAGCCUGAUUCGGCCAUGGCGCGUGGGUUAAGGAGGUCUUCGGAUUGUAAAGCACUUUAAGUUGGGUAGCGUUACCAACAGAAUAAACACCGGCUAGCUUCGGUCCAGCAGCCGCGGUAAUAC